UACAUGGGGUGCAAGCGUUACUCGGAAUCAUUGGGCGUAAAGAGCGCGUAGGCGGCUUGGUAAGUCUGGUGUGAAAGCCCCGAACUCAAUUCGGGAAGUGCAUUGGAUACUGCUAAGCUGGAGUACAGGAGAGGUGAACGGAAUUCCUGGUGUAGAGGUGAAAUUCGUAGAUAUCAGGAGGAACAACAGAAGCGAAGGCGGUUCACUGGACUGUUACUGACGCUGAGGCGCGAAAGCGUGGGGAGCAAAC
rnacentral:rRNA from 1 species